AGGAAGUUCUUUCCUUUUUUUUAUGAUGAGUAUGAGUGCAUUUGGCUCGAGACACUUUUAGUGUCGGUGUGGAAAAACUCUAGCUACCUAAUUUUUACUACCUCUGACC
rnacentral:snoRNA from 1 species